AUAAGGACUGUUUCUAUGUUAGAUACUGUAGGUUAAAGAUAGUCUAUAACAAUAAGGACUGUUUCUAUGUUAGAUACUGUAGGUUAAAGACUGUCUAUAACAAUAAGGACUGUUUCUAUGUUAGAUACUGUAGGUUAAAGACUGUCUAUAACAAUAAGGACUGUUUCUAUGUUAGAUACUGUAGGUUAAAGAUAGUCUAUAACAAUAAGGACUGUUUCUAUGUUAGAUACUGUAGGUUAAAGAUAGUCUAUAACAAUAAGGACUGUUUCUAUGUUAGAUACUGUAGGUUAAAGAUAGUCUAUAACAAUAAGGACUGUUUCUAUGUUAGAUACUGUAGGUUAAAGAUAGUCUAUAACAAUAAGGACUGUUUCUAUGUUAGAUACUGUAGGUUAAAGACUGUCUAUAACAAUAAGGACUGUUUCUAUGCUAGAUACUGUAGGUUAAAGAUAGUCUAUAACAAUAAGGACUGUUUCUAUGCUAGAUACUGUAGGUUAAAGAUAGUCUAUAACAAUAAGGACUGUUUCUAUGUUAGAUACUGUAGGUUAAAGACUGUCUAUAACAAUAAGGACUGUUUCUAUGUUAGAUACUGUAGGUUAAAGACUGUCUAUAACAAUAAGGACUGUUUCUAUGCUAGAUACUGUAGGUUAAAGAUAGUCUAUAACAAUAAGGACUGUUUCUAUGCUAGAUACUGUAGGUUAAAGAUAGUCUAUAACAAUAAGGACUGUUUCUAUGUUAGAUACUGUAGGUUAAAGACUGUCUAUAACAAUAAGGACUGUUUCUAUGUUAGAUACUGUAGGUUAAAGAUAGUCUAUAACAAUAAGGACUGUUUCUAUGUUAGAUACUGUAGGUUAAAGACUGUCUAUAACAAUAAGGACUGUUUCUAUGCUAGAUACUGUAGGUUAAAGACUGUCUAUAACAAUAAGGACUGUUUCUAUUUCUGGUGCAUGUCCAAGAUCGAUAAUCAAUAUGUUGUUUAUACAGAUCAGUCUACACAAUAUUGAUACUAUAUAGUCCCAUAAGAACUGGAGAAAACUCAAAGACUGAUGUCAGUUGAUCGUUGUUGUGGUUCAAUGUUUAAAGAGCCACUUUGUUACUAAUAGCUGAAGAACCAGAGAACACAUAUGGAAUCAUGUUGUAACCAAAAAUACGUUAAACAAAUCAAAAUAUAUUUUAUAUUUUAUGAUUCUUAAAAGUAGCCACCCGUUGCCUUGAUGACAGCUUUGCACACUCUUGGCCUUCUGUCAACCAACUUCAUGAGGUAGUCACCUGGAUUUUAAAAAAAUUAAUAAGUGUGACUUGAUUAAAGUACAUUUGUGGAAUGUAUUUCCUUCUUAGGAAUGGUAUACAGAAUAUAGCCCUAUUUGGUAAAUGACCAAGUCCAUAUUAUGGAAAGAUCAGCUCAAAUAAG